rnacentral:lncRNA from 1 species
GGGAAGAUGUGGCAGGUCUCUCGGGAGUGGACACAUUCGCUUUUCGCUCAACUGUGGCAGCGGGGUGAACGUUCAUUAGCAUCACUUUAAUUUGAAAUGUUGAUCAUUUCAUAAGCACUUUAUAAACUCUGCUCACGUUUAUGAAGGACUUUGCUUCGCUUUUGUUGUGGUCCAAAGGUGCUGAACCAGGUGGUUUGCUCAGUACUUUCGCUCCUUCAGGGCUUCUGCAAGAGCCUCCCUGAGAGCUGCGGGAGCCUCUUAGAAGCAGCUGCACUCAGAUGCGUUCGCAGUGGCAAAACCUUUAACCAGAUUCUUCAUGAAGACAAUAUACACCGCAUAACCACUGGAGGCCAGAAGAACCACGGUGGAAUCAGCCCAUUCACUUACUGCCAGUUUUGGUAAAAAAAAAAAAUAAAUAAAUAAAAUAACUGCCCAGUUUAGGUUCUUUAGAACCUCAUGCCAACUUGAGAAACAAAAAAAGUGAAAUCUCACAGCUGGCCUUAGAUUCCACAGUGCUCAGACUGGACAUGGUUUCCAGAGAGCCUGGCCCCACAGGCCAGAGGGUUCUGGUAGUCAUCAAAGCUGUACUUGCUGUUAAUUUUGUAUGGUAAGUAUUCACAGUUUUGGAUUUAAUUAUUAAUGUUGGUGUGUCAGUCUUGGUUGUGUAUUGCUUCUACUGUAUUUAUAAACCGGUGCAAGAAAAGCACAAGUAAAGUAAAUUAUACAUCAAAUUUAUUAUAAAGAAAUAGUAACUAUUUUAACUUUGUUCAAGUAUGUGGUAAUUUGCUCCUAUUAGAGUGAAAAAAAUACAGUAAAUUAUUAUCAGUUUGUGUAACUUAAGAGUAUUCCGUAUAAUAUUUUUU